UAGCGUGUCUUGCUACUGGACCUAGCGGCGGACGGGUGAGUAAUGCUUAGGAAUCUGCCUAUUAGUGGGGGACAACAUCUCGAAAGGGAUGCUAAUACCGCAUACGUCCUACGGGAGAAAGCAGGGGAUCUUCGGACCUUGCGCUAAUAGAUGAGCCUAAGUCGGAUUAGCUAGUUGGUGGGGUAAAGGCCUACCAAGGCGACGAUCUGUAGCGGGUCUGAGAGGAUGAUCCGCCACACUGGGACUGAGACACGGCCCAGACUCCUACGGGAGGCAGCAGUGGGGAAUAUUGGACAAUGGGGGGAACCCUGAUCCAGCCAUGCCGCGUGUGUGAAGAAGGCCUUAUGGUUGUAAAGCCACUUUCAGCGGAGGGAGGAGGCUACUUUAGUUAAUACCUAGAGAUAGUGGACGUUACUCGCAGAACUAAGCACCGGCUAACUCUGUGCCAGCAGCCGCGGUAAUACAGAGGGUGCGAGCGUUAAUCGGAUUUACUGGGCGUAAAGCGUGCGUAGGCGGCUUAUUAAGUCGGAUGUGAAAUCCCCCGAGCUUAACUUGGGAAUUGCAUUCGAUACUGGUGAGCUAGAGUAUGGGAGAGGAUGGUAGAAUUCCAGGUGUAGCGGUGAAAUGCGUAGAGAUCUGGAGGAAUACCGAUGGCGAAGGCAGCCAUCUGGCCUAAUACUGACGCUGAGGUACGAAAGCAUGGGGAGCAAACAGGAUUAGAUACCCUGGUAGUCCAUGCCGUAAACGAUGUCUACUAGCCGUUGGGGCCUUUGAGGCUUUAGUGGCGCAGCUAACGCGAUAAGUAGACCGCCUGGGGAGUACGGUCGCAAGACUAAAACUCAAAUGAAUUGACGGGGGCCCGCACAAGCGGUGGAGCAUGUGGUUUAAUUCGAUGCAACGCGAAGAACCUUACCUGGCCUUGACAUACUAGAAACUUUCCAGAGAUGGAUUGGUGCCUUCUGGAAUCUAGAUACAGCUGCUGCAUGGCUGUCGUCAGCUCGUGUCCUGAGAUGCUGG
rnacentral:rRNA from 1 species